GACGAACGCUGGCGGCGUGCUUAACACAUGCAAGUCGAACGGAAAGGCCCUGCUUUUGUGGGGUGCUCGAGUGGCGAACGGGUGAGUAACACGUGAGUAUCCUGCCCUUGACUUUGGGAUAACUUCAGGAAACUGGGGCUAAUACCGGAUAGGAGCUCCUGCUGCAUGGUGGGGGUUGGAUAGUUUCGGCGGUUGGGGAUGGACUCGCGGCUUAUCAGCUUGGUGGUGGGGUAGUGUCUUACCAAGGCUUUGCAGGGUAGCCUGCCUGCGAGGGUCACCGGCCAAGUUGGGACGGAGAUACGGCCCAGACUACUACGGGAGGCAGCAGUGGGGAAUGUUGCACAAUGGGCGGAAGCCUGAUGCAGCACCGCCGCGUGCGGGAUGACGGCCUUCGGGUUGUAAACCGCUUUCGCCUGUGACGAAGCGUGAGUGACGGUAAUGGGUAAAGAAGCACCGGCUAACUACGUG
rnacentral:rRNA from 1 species